UCCUUGCUGCUGUGAAGCAGUCAGGACGUGUUGAGGCUGGGAGACAAGAACAACAUGCGUGAAGCUUCAACAAAGGAUUUACGAACCAGGACUAAAGGAAUCUUGCUAAGGAUUGAAGAGCCUGGAAUGGAUGCAUCUUGAUAAGGUUGGUAUAGAAGAAGUUGAUGUCUACAGCCCUGCAGUAAUUAAACUUUUACUGCAUGUACUUUCAUUUUGUAGACUCAUUUGUGAUGUGUAUGUGCCCUUAUUAAUAUUCAUUUGGAUAUGUCAUAUAUUAGUUUAAGGGCAAAUUGAAAUUAGAGCAUGUAAAGUCUUUUUAUAAUCUCAAACUGUUUAGACCACAUCCAUACUUAAAAUGUUGUGUACUGUAUGUAUGAACUGGUAAAUAAAGUUAAAUCUGUUAUUUAAA